GCCAGGCAUGGUGGCGCAUGCCUGUAGUCCUAGCUACUUGGGAGGCUGAGGCAGAAGAAUCACUUGAAUCCAGGAGGUGGAGGUUGCAGUGAGCCGAGAUGACUCCACUGCACUCCAGCCUGGGUGACAGAGUGAGAAUCCGUCUCAA
ensembl:misc_RNA Metazoa_SRP Metazoan signal recognition particle RNA